rnacentral:rRNA from 1 species
CUCUUAGAUGUUCUGGGUCGCACACGCGCUACACUGAAGGAGGCAGCGUGUACUCCUGGAUCGAAAGAUUUGGGUAACCCGCGAAUCUCCUUCGUGCUAGGGAUUGAGGUUUGCAAUUAUCCUUCAUGAACGAGGAAUUCCCAGUAAGUGCAAGUCAUAAGCUUGCGCUGACUACGUCCCUGCCCUUUGUACACACCGCCCGUCGCUACUACCGAUUGAAUGAUUUAGUGAGGACUUCGGACUGGGACCGAUGCGGCUUUCGGGCUGCGUCGGUAUUCUGGAAAGAUGUCCAAACUGUAUCAUUUAGAGGAAGUAAAAGUCGUAACA